UUUUACUUAAUAUAUGUGGGGUUUUGGGUCAGGGUCGCUUGAGCAGGUUCUCUGCUAUUUACUUGUGUUCCUUUGGUGGUGAGAGAGGUAGGGGUUGGCCCAGGCUAGGGUGUGGUUGUUUGUUUUGUGAUUGGCUGUGUUGAUCUUUGUUUUCCUGUGUGAGUGGGGUGGGUGGGUGUUUUUGAUCAGGUUAGCCAUAUUGAUUUGUAUGCUGUUGGUAGAUUUUUGUCAUUGUCUUGUUGGGCUGUGUACAGUAUGUGAUAAAGGGGAGCCAUACCGGGGUGAAGGCAUCUUCUUCUAUUUGUCCCCGUUUCAGUUUAUUGGUUAGUUUUUUCUAGUUUGUUUCCCAUACUAUUUGGUACCAUUGGUCCAUGCUUACUCCUGACAGGACUCAGUUUUGAUGUUUCUGGCUGCUGAAAGUAGGUGGGUUAUGAGUUCUUUGGGUUAUAAAUGGGCAUUGUCUUGGAAGAUGUUUAGUAGGGCCAAUUCUCGGUUGAUUUCUAAUACUUGCUUAGUUAUUUUACAUAUUUCUCGUAUGGCUGUUGUCCAGAAUAGUUGAAUUUUGGGGCACUCCCACCACAUGUGGAGGUAUGUGCCUGUGGACGAGCACCCUCUCCAGCAUUUUGGUGAGGAUCCUGGGCAUAUUAGCGCUAGUUUUCUUGUGUUAGGUACCAUCUGGCAAAAAUGUUCUUCUAAACCAGGCAUCCCCAAACUGCGGCCCUCCAGAUGUUUUGGCCUACAACUCCCAUGAUCCCUAGCUAACAGGACCAGUGGUCAGGGAUGAUGGGAAUUGUAGUCCAAAACAUCUGGAGGGCCGAAGUUUGGGGAUGCCAGUUAACUAAUUGGUUGAAGUUGGAGAAAAUUAGCCAGGAGUAUAAAUAAGUGAAGUUGUGAAUGAGCACAAUAAGAAGUUGAAAUCCUGGUCAUCCAAAGUAGCUUUACCUGAAAUGCUAUUCAUCCCAUGUUCAGGGCUACCUAAAUAGGCAGAGCUGAAGGGUUUCCAUGCAUAGAUGAAAUGGUGCUAUCAGGAAGAGGACAUAGAUUUGUUACGGAGCAUUCUGCAGAACAAAGCCAGAUCCGUAUAAAGGGAUGGGCUCCGCUUAAACCAAAAGAUUAUCCAUCUGUUGGUCUUUAAUCAAUUCAGAUUUAUUGCUUAUAACCAUAAGCCAUCACAAUAUAGAACACAGGUGAGGCUGUUAAAUAUAAUACAACAAUAUUGAAGUGUAUUAUUCACCACCUUCCUUGCAUGACAAUCAUGUGUUAUGGCUGCAAACAAGGCUGAACACAUUGCAAAUGAGGUUAACAGAUUCUGGUAAGCUGUUGGGAGAAGUCAGGUUCCCCCACCAUACAAUCUAAUAAAAUAAACAAUUCAGCCCUAAAUAUUGUUCAGCUCAGAGACCUGGUGCUUCCAAAUCUCAGAUGAGCUAGAUUGCAUCCAGAACUUAAUAUCAAAGAAGUGGCAGAGCAUGCCCCUUUGUUAAAGUUUACAUAGAAAGGAAUGGCAAAACAUAAAGGGAACACUUAGCAGCACAGUGCCUGGCAGGGGCUCUUUCCAUCCCACCAAUGAAGUUUUAGUCUCUCUCCUUUCCCUUUUCCCUUGGCAGAUAACAAAUGCAACAGUA